AGCGAACGCUGGCGGCAGGCCUAACACAUGCAAGUCGAACGAACCUUUCGGGGUUAGUGGCGGACGGGUGAGUAACACGUGGGAACGUGCCCUUAGGUUCGGAAUAACUCAGGGAAACUUGUGCUAAUACCGAAUGUGCCCUUCGGGGGAAAGAUUUAUCGCCUUUAGAGCGGCCCGCGUCUGAUUAGCUAGUUGGUUGAGGUAAUGGCUCACCAAGGCGACGAUCAGUAGCUGGUCUGAGAGGAUGUUCCGCCACAUUGGGACUGGGACACGGCCCAAACUCCUACGGGAGGCAGCAGUGGGGAAUCUUGCGCAAUGGGCGAAAGCCUGACGCAGCCAUGCCGCGUGAAUGAUGAAGGUCUUAGGAUUGUAAAAUUCUUUCACCGGGGACGAUAAUGACGGUACCCGGAGAAGAAGCCCCGGCUAACUUCGUG
rnacentral:rRNA from 1 species